AUACGUAGGGGGCGAGCGUUGUCCGGAAUGAUUGGGCGUAAAGGGCGCGUAGGCGGCCCGGUAAGUCUGGAGUGAAAGUCCUGUUUUUAAGAUGGGAAUUGCUUUGGAUACUGGAGAGCUAGAGUGCAGGAGAGGUAAGUGGAAUUCCCAGUGUAGCGGUGAAAUGCGUAGAGAUUGGGAGGAACACCAGUGGCGAAGGCGACUUACUGGACUGUAACUGACGCUGAGGCGCGAAAGUGUGGGGAGCAAACAGGAUUAGAUACCCUGGUAGUCCACACUGUAAACGAUGAAUGCUAGGUGUAGGGGGUAUCGACCCCUUCUGUGCCGCAGUCAACACAAUAAGCAUUCCGCCUGGGGAGUACGGCCGCAAGGUUGAAACUCAAAUGAAUUGACGGGG
rnacentral:rRNA from 1 species